AUCAGGAGACAGUAGCAAGAGGUGGCAGCAGUAGCAUGCAAAAUCCUCUAUUUCAAUUAUAUCAUAGGUACUGCGGGAAUUUACUGUCAUCGCUUGAACUUAGCCACCUGGUAUGGCUCAGAGCAUCAGCCAAAAAAUAACCAUCCAUGAAUGUUGUAUCCAUGGGAGUUUGGUUCCAUGACCCCAGUGGAUACAAAAAUCAAUUUACCUUCAAGUCCCAUUAUAUACAAUGGCACAGUAGAAUGACAGAAUCAUAGAAUAAUAGAGUUGGAAGAGACUUCAUGGGCCAUCUAGUCCAGGAAAUCGCAUUCAAAGUACCCCUGACAGAUGGCCAUCUAGCCUCUGCUUAAAAGCCUCCAAAGAAGGAGCCUCCACCACAGUCUGGGGGAGAGAGUUCCACUGCCGAACAGCUCCCACGGUGAUGAAGUUCUUCCUGAUGUUCAGGUGGAAUCUCCUUUCCUGUAGUUUAAAGCCGUUGCUCUGCAUCCUAGUCUCCAGGGCAGCAGAAAACAAGCUUGCUCCCUCCUCCCUAUGACUUCCCCUCACAUAUUUAUACAUGGCUAUAAUGUCUCCUCUCAGCCUUCUCUUCUGUAGGCUAAACAUGCCCAGCUCUUUAAGCCACUCCUCAUAGGGUUUGUUCUCCAGACCCUUAAUCAUUUUAAUUGCCCUCCUCUGGACACUUUCCAGCUUGUCUCCCUUCAACUGCGGUGCCCAGUAUUGGACACAGUAUUCCAGGUGUGGUGUGACCAAGGCAGAAUAGAGGGGUAGCAUGACUUCCCUGGAUCUCGACACUAUACCCCUAUUUAUGCAGGCCAAAACCCCGUUGGCUUUUUUAGCUGCCACAUCACAUUGUUGGCUCAUGUUUAACUUGUUGUCCACGAGGACUCCAAGGUCUUUUUCGCAUGUACUGCUGUUGAGCCAGGCAUCCCCCAUUCUGUAUCUUUGCAUUCCAUUUUUUCUGCUGAAGUGAAGUAUCUUGCAUUUGUCCCUGUUGAACUUCAUUUUGUUCGUUUCGGCCCAUCUCUCUAGUCUGUUAAGAUAGUUUUGACUUCUGCUCCUGUCUUCUGGAGUGUUGGCUAUCCCUCCCAAUUUGGUGUCAUCUGCAAACUUGAUGAUUGUGCCUUCUAACCCUUCGUCUAAGUCGUUAAUAAAGAUGUUGAACAGAACAGGGCCCAGGACGGAACCCUGCGGCACUCCACUUGUGACUUCUUUCCAGGAUGAAGACGAUGCAUUGGUGAGCACCCUUUGGGUUCAUUCACUCAGCCAAUUACAGAUCCACCUAACUGUAGUUUUGUCUAGCCCACAUUUUACUAGUUUGUUUGCCAGAAGGUCGUGAGGGACUUUGUCGAAAGCCUUACCGAAAUCCAGGUAUGCUACAUCCAUGGCAUUCCCUGUAUCGACCCAGCUUGUACCUCUAUCGAAAAAAGAGAUCAGAUUAGUCUAGCAUGACUUACUUUUGGUAAAUCCGUGUUGACUAUUAGCAAUGACCGCAUUUGUUUUUAAGUGUUCGCAGACCACUUCCCUAACUAUCUUUUCCAGAAUCUUGCCUGGUAUUGACGUGAGGCUGACCGGACAGUAAUUGUUUGGGUCGUCCUUUUUUCCCUUCUUGAAGAUAUGGACCACAUUUGCCCUCCUCCAAUCUGCUGGGACUGAGAGUUCUCCAAGAACUCUCAAAGAUGAUUGCUAGUGGUUCUGAAAUAACUUCUUCUAGUUCCUUCAAUACUCUUGGAUGUAGUUGAUCUGGCCCUGGGUUCUUGAAUUCAUUAAAAUUAUGUCCCUUAUAUCAAAUGGCAAAACCAAGAUUUUGGAUUUUCAAAAACAUAUUUUUUAAAGUGUUGGCAGUUAAAUCUGUGGAUGCAGAGCCCAUAGAUGUGGAGAGUUGACUUGUGAGUAAAUAAACAAGCAAAUAAAUAAAUUAGCAGACAUCAGUGACAGACGAAUCCUGUUGAGAAAUCAUGUAUCAUCAAUUGUCAGGUACUGUUGUCAGACUUUGUAACUGAUUGAAGAAAUUAAACAGGUGCAUACUUUGGUGAGUUUAUGUCAUGUAUCUUUGAUCAAAUGCAAUCAUAUUUAGGAAAAAACUGAUUUAUCUUUUAAUAUUAAAUAUGCUUACAGCAAAUUUGUUUCCUUUCCUGUCCUUUUAAAGAACAUUGCAGUUCUUGCUGUAAACAAUCUCUCAGUUGGAAACCUGCAUUUGUCCCUCAUUCAUAUACAGAAGAAAGAAGUUUCAGCUUAGAAUCAGAAAGAGGAAAAUGUUUUCUCGAUGGAGUUAUAAAAGUACAGCCUCUUAAAACAUGCCAUCGUCCUUUACGAAUUGGAUUGUCAAGGAGAGCUAAGCCCAGACAGCUCCAUCCAUACCUGAAAUAGUUCAGUUUACCACUUUUGAAGAAAAUUCUUUAUUUGAAACUUCAGUACUGUUCUAUAUUUUAAAAAAUAUUCUCUUUAGGGGUUUUAAAUAUUUAAACUACCGUAAGAUGUUGAACUAAGGUACUCCCUUGGAGGAUUUCAUAAUUUUCUUUUGAAAUUAGCAUGUACUGAUAAUUGUAUUCUGCUAAAUUUCUGUAAUUUUAAUAUUUUAAUAGUUAAUAUAAUUAAAAUACAUGUAGUGUAUGCAUAAUCUUCUAAAUGUCAUUUUAAACACAUCAUCUAAAUAUAAUAUCAUAUAUCAUUAUGGCAUAGGUUAUUAAACAGGUUGCUACGAUGUUUGUAAAUUUAAAAAAUGUUAUAUAGUAAAAUACUUCAGCCAAUAAUGA